rnacentral:rRNA from 1 species
UACGUAGGGCGCAAGCGUUGUCCGGAAUUAUUGGGCGUAAAGAGCUCGUAGGCGGUCUGUCGCGUCGGAUGUGAAAGCCCGGGGCUUAACCCCGGGUCUGCAUUCGAUACGGGCAGACUAGAGUGUGGUAGGGGAGAUCGGAAUUCCUGGUGUAGCGGUGAAAUGCGCAGAUACCAGGAGGAACACCGGUGGCGAAGGCGGAUCUCUGGGCCAUUACUGACGCUCAUGCACGAAAGCGUGGGGAGCAAACAGG